rnacentral:rRNA from 1 species
UACGAAGGGGGCUAGCGUUGCUCGGAAUCACUGGGCGUAAAGGGUGCGUAGGCGGGUUUUUAAGUCAGGGGUGAAAUCCUGGAGCUCAACUCCAGAACUGCCUUUGAUACUGAAGAUCUUGAGUCCGGGAGAGGUGAGUGGAACUGCGAGUGUAGAGGUGAAAUUCGUAGAUAUUCGCAAGAACACCAGUGGCGAAGGCGGCUCACUGGCCCGGUACUGACGCUGAGGCACGAAAGCGCGGGGAGCAAACAGG